UACAGAGGGUGCAAGCGUUGUUCGGAAUUACUGGGCGUAAAGCGUGCGUAGUCGGUAUUGAGAGUCGCGGGUGAAAUCCCAGGGCUUAACCCUGGAACUGCCUGCGAGACCUCAGUACUAGAGUGUGAGAGGGGAUAGUGGAAUACCCAGUGUAGCGGUGAAAUGCGUAGAGAUUGGGUGGAACACCGGUGGCGAAGGCGGCUAUCUGGCUCACAACUGACGAUCAGGCACGAAAGCUAGGGGAGCAAACAGG
rnacentral:rRNA from 1 species